rnacentral:rRNA from 1 species
CAUGUGUAAGCGAAGCGAUAAGUGGAGCGGUGAAAGGCUCAGUAACGGGCGAUUUAUUUGAUCUCCUGGGACGGACAACAUCGGGAAACUGAUGGGAAAACGUCUAAGUUGCAGUUUUUUUUUGAUUGCGACGUAAACCUUUUGGUGCAGGAGAGUAAGAUGCCCUCCUAUCAGUUAGUAAGUAGGGUAGGGGCCUACUUAGACGAAGACGGGUACGGGGAAUGAGGGUUUGAUUCCGGAGAGGGAGCCUGAGAGAUGGCUACCAGGACCAAGGUCAGCAGCAGGCGCGAAAAUUAUCGAACCCCGCCUAGGGGCGAUAGUGAGGAGACGUGUAUAACGAAGUACGUGUAAAGACCGUACUAAUAACUGGAGGUCAAGUCUGGUGCCAGCAUCCGCGGUAAUUCCAGCUCCAGGGGUGUCUAUGAUGAUUGCUGCGAUUAAAAAGUCCGUAGUCGAGCUGACUGACUGACCUGCAAUGUGGUUGAUUAAAAGACGAGCAGGGUUAGGAAAGCAGAGAAUUAGGAGCGACCGAGGGCUAGAGUAUUGAAUGGCGAGAGGUGAAAUUUGAUGACCCAUUCAGGAGUGACAAAGGCGAAGGCACUAGUCAAGGGCGAAUCCGAUGAUCAAGGACGUAGGCUAGAGUUUCGAAAACGAUUAGAGACCGGAGUAGUUCUAGCAGUAAACUAUGCCGACACCGUGGUAUUAAUUUUUUAGUAUUGCGGAAGAGAAAUCAAGUAAGGCUUUGGGGAGAGUACGCGCGCAAGCGAUAAAUUUAAAGGAAAUUGACGGAGGAACACCACAAGGAGUGGAGUGUGCGGCUUAAUUU